rnacentral:misc_RNA from 1 species
AAGUCGUAACAAGGUUUCCGUAGGUGAACCUGCGGAAGGAUCAUUAACACGUAUCCAACGUUAAAACAACCCCCGUGAACUUUCAGCUUGCUCCUGUAGCCCGUGAAAACAGCAAUCCCUGGUAAAUCAUUGUUGACCAGCUUUUGAGUGCAUCUAGUGACCUGGCAUCCCCAAGUAAUCAGUGUCUGAAAAGUGUCAUUGAUUAUGUAAGGAUGGCGCAGUCACGAUCGCUGUAGGCCCACACGGCCGGCGACCGGGUCACCGGGCUCUGCCCCUUUACGACAACACAGUACGAAUUGGCCGCGCGUGAAAUUCGCACGGCACCAAAAACCGAACAACUGUUAACAAUGGAUAUCUUGGUUCUC